GCGCCUGUAGUUCAAUUGGAUAGAACGGUCGCGUCCUAAGCGAUUGGUUGUGAGUUCGAGCCUCGCCAGGCGCA
rnacentral:tRNA from 1 species